AUUGAACGCUGGCGGCAGGCCUAACACAUGCAAGUCGAACGGUAACAGGAAGCAGCUUGCUGCUUUGCUGACGAGUGGCGGACGGGUGAGUAAUGUCUGGGAAACUGCCCGAUGGAGGGGGAUAACUCCUGGAAACGGUAGCUAAUACCGCAUAACGUCGCAAGACCAAAGAGGGGGACCUUAGGGCCUCUUUCCAUCGGAUGUGCCCAGAUGGGAUUAGCUAGUAGGUGGGGUAACGGCUCACCUAGGCGACGAUCCCUAGCUGGUCUGAGAGGAUGACCAGCCACACUGGAACUGAGACACGGUCCAGACUCCUACGGGAGGCAGCAGUGGGGAAUAUUGCACAAUGGGCGCAAGCCUGAUGCAGCCAUGCCGCGUGUAUGAAGAAGGCCUUCGGGUUGUAAAGUACUUUCAGCGGGGAGGAAGGGAGUAAAGUUAAUACCUUUGCUCAUUGACGUUACCCGCAGAAGAAGCACCGGCUAACUCCGUG
rnacentral:rRNA from 1 species